CCUACGGGAGGCUGCAGUGGGGAAUAUUGGGCAAUGGGCGCAAGCCUGACCCAGCAACGCAGCGUGAAGGAAGAAGGCUUUCGGGUUGUAAACUUCUUUUAAGAGGGAAGAGCAGAAGACGGUACCUCUUGAAUAAGCCACGGCUAACUACGUGCCAGCAGCCGCGGUAAUACGUAGGUGGCAAGCGUUGUCCGGAUUUACUGGGUGUAAAGGGCGUGUAGCCGGGCUGGCAAGUCAGAUGUGAAAUCACGUGGCCCAACCACGGAACAGCAUUUGAAACUGGCGGUCUUGAGUAUCGGAGAGGCAGGCGGAAUUCCUAGUGUAGCGGUGAAAUGCGUAGAUAUUAGGAGGAACACCAGUGGCGAAGGCGGCGUACUGGAGGACAACUGACGGUGAGGCGCGAAAGCGUGGGGAGCAAACAGGAUUAGAUACCCGUGUAGUC
rnacentral:rRNA from 1 species